rnacentral:lncRNA from 1 species
AUGAACUUUAGAGGUACCUUCCAGCCUCAACUAUUCUGUAAUCAACAGGGAAAACUUCAAAACAAGCAUGGAUUUUUUCAUCGGCUAAGAAACGCAUUGGUUCGGGUGUCUCAUGUAGCAUCUUUCCACUGGGAUGUGCCACAGAAAAACCACUACGAGAGUUACUAUCAUAUUCAGUCAUAUUCAAAGGAUAAAUCAUUUCAGCCUCUCCUGGAUGAAAAUUUGGACAGUGGAAUUUACAGAGGUGCUACAGUUGUAUUUCAUCGGCGACAAGAGAUGGAGGAGACCAUGACUGGAUCAUUGGGUGAUGCUCUGGCAUUAUUCUGUAAUGGGAAACCUGAGUUUGGACUGUACCAAACCCAUUUCACCAGGAGCAUGUCAUCUCAGGAGGCCUGGUUGUGAGCCUGGUUCCUUUGAACACCGCGAAUCCAGGAGGUUCAGCAGGCAAUGCAGUGUUUACAAAACAAGUAAGUGGUGGUCAAGUAGUUUUAUUGGGUGUGCAAACUCCAGAUAAAUGAUAUAAUAUGGGCCUGACUGUUCGUGGGCAUCUGUCUAGAGAUUAUUCCUUAACAAAAGAGUCUGAGAAAUCAUUCAUAUGGUUUGUAUUCACAUCAGGUUUUGGUCACAGACAAAUUCACACAUUCAGCAAUGUAGUUAAUCUCCUAGAUACCCACCAC